CUGAUGUUGAGUCCGCAUUGCAAGUUCUGAAUUUUGCAAUAUAAGUUGACUGAGAUGGGAGAGCAUGAACAAGUGGAUAGACUUGAGGUUUUACCUUCUCCCCAUUCAUGUAUCUUAAAAAGAUCUCUUCACAGCUCUGGAAACAAUCCAAUGGAUGUGGAUGUAGGGAACACUUCAAGUGACCAACAUGUUCCAACAGAGAGGUUGCACAUAACAUACAAGUCUGAAGCUUUGUUUUGUUUAUGCCUAAUCCUUAGCUGUCCUUGUUUUUUGAUAACAUGCGGGAUUGAAGCAUCUGAAGUAAUUCUUGGUAAGCAUGUGUUGGAAAACCAUAUAGAUCAAAUGUCAACUGAUGAAGUCGAGCAAUCGAUUAACAGGGACUACAAGAUACAAACAGGGUAAUGAUGUGGAAUGGUAUUGUUCGAAUCGUAUAGCUACCAUUGUAGCAAGAUGUUUACCUACAGGUCCCCUGGCCAUGAUGUGUCAUGAUGGAUGUCUGAUGAAUCCAGCUAAAGCUCUACAUUUGUAAUGAACGCUUUCUGACGGGGGCACGACGAUAACGCGCUUUCUAUUCUAGUAUGCUUAGUUAGAUUCA